rnacentral:rRNA from 1 species
UAGAGUUUGAUCAUGGCUCAGAUUGAACGCUGGCGGCAGGCCUAACACAUGCAAGUCGAGCGGUAACAUUUCUAGCUUGCUAGAAGAUGACGAGCGGCGGACGGGUGAGUAACGCGUAGGAAUCUACCUAGUAGUGGGGGAUAAGCCAGAGAAAUUUGGUCUAAUACCGCAUACGUCCUAAGGGAGAAAGGAGGGGAUCUUCGGACCUUUCGCUAUUAGAUGAGCCUGCGUAAGAUUAGCUAGUUGGUGAGGUAAGAGCUCACCAAGGCGACGAUCUUUAGCUGGUCUGAGAGGAUGAUCAGCCACACUGGGACUGAGACACGGCCCAGACUCCUACGGGAGGCAGCAGUGGGGAAUAUUGGACAAUGGGGGCAACCCUGAUCCAGCCAUGCCGCGUGUGUGAAGAAGGCCUUCGGGUUGUAAAGCACUUUCAGAGGUGAGGAAAGGUAAGUAGUUAAUACCUGCUUACUGUGACGUUAACCUCAGAAGAAGGACCGGCUAACUCCGUGCCAGCAGCCGCGGUAAUACGGAGGGUCCGAGCGUUAAUCGGAAUUACUGGGCGUAAAGCGCGCGUAGGUGGUUUCGUCAGUCAGAUGUGAAAGCCCAGGGCUCAACCUUGGAACUGCACCUGAUACUGCGGAACUAGAGUACGAUAGAGGGGA